CUACCAUGCAGUCGACGAUGAAGCCCUUCGGGGUGGAUUAGUGGCGAACGGGUGAGUAACACGUGGGCAAUCUGCCCUUCACUCUGGGACAAGCCCUGGAAACGGGGUCUAAUACCGGAUAACACUCGCCGAGGCAUCUCGGUGGGUUGAAAGCUCCGGCGGUGAAGGAUGAGCCCGCGGCCUAUCAGCUUGUUGGUGAGGUAGAAGCUCACCAAGGCGACGACGGGUAGCCGGCCUGAGAGGGCGACCGGCCACACUGGGACUGAGACACGGCCCAGACUCCUACGGGAGGCAGCAGUGGGGAAUAUUGCACAAUGGGCGAAAGCCUGAUGCAGCGACGCCGCGUGAGGGAUGACGGCCUUCGGGUUGUAAACCUCUUUCAGCAGGGAAGAAGCGAAAGUGACGGUACCUGCAGAAGAAGCGCCGGCUAACUACGUGCCAGCAGCCGCGGUAAUACGUAGGGCGCAAGCGUUGUCCGGAAUUAUUGGGCGUAAAGAGCUCGUAGGCGGUCUGUCACGUCGGAUGUGAAAGCCCGGGGCUUAACCCCGGGUCUGCAUUCGAUACGGGCAGACUAGAGUGUGGUAGGGGAGAUCGGAAUUCCUGGUGUAGCGGUGAAAUGCGCAGAUAUCAGGAGGAACACCGGUGGCGAAGGCGGAUCUCUGGGCCAUUACUGACGCUGAGGAGCGAAAGCGUGGGGAGCGAACAGGAUUAGAUACCCUGGUAGUCCACGCCGUAAACGGUGGGAACUAGGUGUUGGCGACAUUCCACGUCGUCGGUGCCGCAGCUAACGCAUUAAGUUCCCCGCCUGGGGAGUACGGCCGCAAGGCUAAAACUCAAAGGAAUUGACGGGGGCCCGCACAAGCAGCGGAGCAUGUGGCUUAAUUCGACGCAACGCGAAGAACCUUACCAAGGCUUGACAUCGCCCGGAAAGCAUCAGAGAUGGUGCCCCCCUUGUGGUCGGGUGACAGGUGGUGCAUGGCUGUCGUCAGCUCGUGUCGUGAGAUGUUGGGUUAAGUCCCGCAACGAGCGCAACCCUUGUUCUGUGUUGCCAGCAUGCCCUUCGGGGUGAUGGGGACUCACAGGAGACUGCCGGGGUCAACUCGGAGGAAGGUGGGGACGACGUCAAGUCAUCAUGCCCCUUAUGUCUUGGGCUGCACACGUGCUACAAUGGCAGGUACAAUGAGCUGCGAUGUCGCAAGGCGGAGCGAAUCUCAAAAAGCCUGUCUCAGUUCGGAUUGGGGUCUGCAACUCGACCCCAUGAAGUCGGAGUUGCUAGUAAUCGCAGAUCAGCAUUGCUGCGGUGAAUACGUUCCCGGGCCUUGUACACACCGCCCGUCACGUCACGAAAGUCGGUAACACCCGAAGCCGGUGGCCCAACCCCCUUGUGGGGAGGGAGCUGUCGAAGGUGGGACUGGCGAUUGGGACGAAGUCGAACAGAGC
rnacentral:rRNA from 1 species